AUUGAACGCUGGCGGCAGGCUUAACACAUGCAAGUCGAGCGAGUGGCGGACGGGUGAGUAAUGUCUGGGAAACUGCCUGGUGGAGGGGGAUAACUACUGGAAACGGUAGCUAAUACCGCAUACCCUCGGAUGUGCCCAUAUGGGAUUAGCUAGUGGGUGGGGUAAUGGCUCACCAAGGCGACGAUCCCUAGCUGGUCUGAGAGGAUGACCAGCCACACUGGAACUGAGACACGGUCCAGACUCCUACGGGAGGCAGCAGUGGGGAAUAUUGGACAAUGGGCGAAAGCCUGAUCCAGCCAUGCCGCGUGUGUGAAGAAGGCCUUCGGGUUGUAAAGCACUUUAAGCGGGGAGGCGUUACCCGCAGAAUAAGCACCGGCUAACUACGUGCCAGCAGCCGCGGUAAUAC
rnacentral:rRNA from 1 species